rnacentral:rRNA from 1 species
AUACGGAGGGUCCGAGCGUUAUCCGGAAUCAUUGGGUUUAAAGGGUCCGUAGGCGGGAAUCUAAGUCAGUGGUGAAAUCUUGCAGCUCAACUGUAAAAUUGCCAUUGGUACUGGAUUUCUUGAAUUAGUGUGAAGUGGUUAGAAUGUGUAGUGUAGCGGUGAAAUGCAUAGAUAUUACACAGAAUACCAAUUGCGAAGGCAGAUCACUAACACUAUAUUGACGCUAAGGGACGAAAGCGUGGGGAGCGAACAGGAUUAGAAACCCCAGUAGUCC